rnacentral:lncRNA from 1 species
UUUGCAGUGAAAUGUUGACUUUUAUAUUAAAUGAGCACUGAACAGAAUGGAUUCUAGUCAAGAAGCCUUUGCCAAAGCAUGGUAACAAGCUCCCCUGGGGAGGUGCAGUCAGCCUGCUACAGUGGUCCUGGAGGGGAAGACCACAGGCAAGCCCCCACUCACUGUUCCCAUACAAACUGCUCAGAGUCAGGAGCUGGCCAUGCUCCCUUUCCUACUUCUCGUUUCUUCAUCACUGUAAUAAAUAUAAAACUGGCAAUAUUCACACACCUUAGCACAGACAGGUUUCAGGCAGAGUUAAGUGGUCGGGUUGAAAAUGCAAACAGAAAUUGGGACUUUUUUUAACAGUGAGUUAGAAUUCUGAAGAACAAGGCAUGAGCUGCCAAGACUUACUUACUGGGAGAAGGUUUGGACAGAAACAUCAGGAUUGGACAGAAGUCCUCAACAGUCCUAGCAGACCUGACAUGGUGGCAGUGCGCUGCCAAUGGUAAUCUAAAGUGCCAGGGCACCCAAGCCACCUGCAACACACCAUCCAUUUGGCAGGGCGUCUCCAACCCGCCACAGUAGAGACAUGGCUCUAGUACUGAACUCGGAAGGUAGCAGCAGCAGGACUGAGUUCAAGGUCACCCUCGGCCACAUGCUAAGCCAGACUGUACUACACUGAGACCCUGUCUCAAAAGAAAAAUGUCGGGAAAGGAGCCUAACAAGUCAAGCAUAGUGGAAUGGGCCGGUAUCUCCACUACUGGGGAGACAAAACAGGAGGAUCACCAGGAGUUCAAAGGCAGUCAGGGUACACACAUAUAGACUCUGCUAAGAAAACCACCCACCUACAAAAAAAAAAAAAAAAAA